rnacentral:lncRNA from 1 species
CUUUUUUAGGCGGGGGCCUUCCGUUUAAUAAUUCAGUAAUUAGAUGCACUGCUGUCAGCUGUGAAAUCCCUAACAGCUUUGCAAUGACAACAUAUUGAAGGCUUUGUGGUCCUCCAAGGUCUCUCUCGAUGUCUUUAACAGGAAGGACAGAGAUCACAUUAGCUGGGAAAACCUAGGUAUGGCCUGAGAGAGUGGAAAAGAGUAAAAGUAAAAUGCCUUAUCAUCCAUGCACUAUGUCUCUGGCUGAGACUUUCGCCAAGGGGUCAUUCAGUGAACAUCACCUUGCUGGCGAUGCACAGAGCUGUCUCAACAUGUCAUCGUGUAAAGUCUGUCUGCACAAAGAUGUUUAAAAACAUGAUGUUAAAGACAAAUUUUUCAACUAGAACCCUCAAGAAAUGUCACUUCUGUGUCUUGCAAAGAGAGCCAGCAUUUUCUCUACGUAAACAUCUGCUGGGAACAUUUUAAGGGGGAAGUAUUUUAAAUAAUGACAUUUGUAGCUUCUUGUCUUUAAUAAGUUUGAAAAAAAAGGGAAAUGAGUUUGUGAUACAUUUCAUUGACAUGGAUCAAAUUGGCUGAUCAGAAAGUGAAAACUUUAACAUUAUGUUAGGUGGAAAUGGUUAAAAUUGUCUGUAUCAAUCAUACCUGAGAAGCACUCAUAAAUCAUGGGUUUCUUUAACUCCAAAAAACGCCAACGGUUCAUUGUAAUGCUCACUUGCUUGUGGCAAUUAUACUAUGUUUAUAUGUAAACAAUUGGAUUUUCUAUUAAAUUAAGAGAAAAAAAAAACCAACAAAAGCAAGAGUCAGGGAACCAUAAGUUAGCUAUACAAUAUGAACAAAGCAAAUUCAUUUGUGAUUAGAAUGGAAACUUCAUUUUAUCUUAACCAAUGUAGAUGUUUGGGGAUAAUUCUCUGUAGAAAAUGCAAGAUAUAUAGCUAGGCUUUUUAAAGUUCUAAGAAAGAGACACAUGCAGAUUGCCUUUGGUAAUAGGUAUUUAUGGCCAGGAUACCCUAGGAUGUAAUUUCAGAAGUAAUGCUGUCUUGUACUCUGGAUUUCACUACUUAAAAGAACUGGGGGUACUGCAGGCAUUAUGAAGUAUGACAAUGACUCAGUAUAAAGGUAGUUUAGUAGCUUUCAGAUUAGAAACUAAGUUCAAAUGAUUUAUCUUUAUUCACUUUCCCAACCUCAUUACUUCUUCAAAUAAAUAAUCUGAUUGACGGCUUUGUAACUAUCCC